GAACGCACAUUGCGCCCGCUAGUAUUCUGGCGGGCAUGCCUGUUCCAGCGUCAUUUCAACCAUCAAGCCCUAGGCUUGUGUUGGAGCCCUGCGGCUGUCCGCAGCCUCCUAAAAACAGUGGCGGGCUCGCUAUAUACCGAGUGCAGUAGUUUACUCUUCGCUCAGGACAUGUAGUGGGUUCUUGCCGUAAAACCCCCCAUUUUUUAAGGUUGACCUCGGAUCAGGUAGGAAUACCCGCUGAACUUAAG
rnacentral:misc_RNA from 1 species